rnacentral:rRNA from 1 species
GGGAACCGCCGGACAGUUCGUGAGGUUUUGGCCCUCACAAAAGCCAAUAACCCCAAGCUUGUCUUCCUGUGUGAAACUAGGCAAGCUACUGUGAAAGUAGAGAACCUGCGAUGGAGACUCGGUCUGAAAGGUUUUCAUGGAGUGAGUAGUGAUGGAAGAAGUGGGGGCUUAGCACUUUUCUGGGAUGAGUCCCUCUCUGUCACGGUGGUUGAUUCUUGCAAUCGUUUUAUCGAUGUUAGUGUGGUCGAUGGUGGGUCAGGCAAUUCUUGGUGAGGCACCUUUGUCUAUGGUGAGCCUCGGGUUGAAAAUCAUCAUCGCAUGUGGGAGCACCUUUGCAGGCUUCAUGCUCACUCGCGUGAGUCGUGGAUGGUGUGUGGGGAUUUCAAUGAAGCUUUAUGGCAGCAUGAGCAUUUGUCGAGGACCGAGCGUUCGGAGGCUCAGAUGGUUGCCUUUAGAGAUUGCUUGGAGAGGUGCAAGCUCGAGGACCUUGGUUUCUCGGGUAUUCCAUUCACAUAUAACAAUGGCCAGGAUUCAGAUCGCAAUGUUCAGGUUCGCUUGGAUCGUGCUUAUGCGGACGAGGCUUUGGCGUGA